rnacentral:lncRNA from 1 species
CCUUCCCUGGUAUCAAGUUGAUCGUAUCCGCUGAGAGGGUUGACAUGGAGGGGAUGACACAUAUCGACCGUCCUUCUCAUGGUGGCGAAAAUUGGAAGCUCGUCCCACAAGCGUUGCCAGAGUUGGUACAAUUUGUACCAAUUUGAUACAAUUAACAACCAAACUUGUGAUACUAAAGUAUCUAAAGUAAAAACCUAAAAUUUUGUGAUAUAAUAAAUUUGCUUCAAAUAACAUAAAACGACGUUUUUUAAGUUUUUGUACAAAAUGUGUUGGUGUAGUACAUUUUAGUCAAUAUUCCAGUCACUCCAGUGCAUUUACAAAAAUUUCUCUGGCAACACCGUCACCUGCGAUUGCUUCUAUAAAUCAAAAUAAUUAUUAUUCCCUUAAUUUUUUAAAAUGCGGUUCUUGUGUUGUUUUUGACUGUCAUUGUACAUGGAGAAAUAGUGGAAUGAAAUUCUUUCGUUUUCCUACAUCCAAAUAUAGGCAGGAUCAAAGAAAAAAAUGGAUUAGUGCUAUUCAAAGACAAAAAAAAUAAAGGCCAUAAAAUUUGGAAAAGAACAAAGAAGAGUACAAAUCAUUGGUUAAUGAUAUGUUUUAUAGGGACUAUAUCAUAUAUUUUAAUGAAAGAAAAAAUGAGUACUGAACACAAAGCACGAUUAUUACAACCAAAUUCAAGGCAACUUAUAAUUAAUAAAAAGGAAGGUGUGCCACCUAGUGAUCUGGAUGCCUUCAGAAUCGAUCAUAUAUGAUGUCGGUAUUGAAGAAUGCUGGGAACACAAUAUAAAAUUAUUAAAAACAUUUUAUUUGAAUAAAUAAGUAUAUACCAUUUUUAUGUGGAAAUAAAGCACUUUAAAAUUA